UUGAACGCUGCGGCAUGCCUUACACAUGGCAAGUCGUAACGGCAAGCACUGGGGGGCAACCCUGGUGGCGAGUGGCGAAACGGGUGAGUAAUGCAUCGGAACGUGCCCAAUAGUGGGGGAUAGCUCGGCGAAAGCCGGAUUAUAUACCGCAUACGACCUACGGGUGAAAGCGGGGGACCGCAAGGCCGAAGUCGCGCUGUUGGAGCGGCCGAUGUCAGAUUAGGUUGUUUGGUGUGGGUAAAGGCCUACCAAGCCGACGAUCUGUAGCUGGUCUGAGAGGACGACCAGCCACACUGGGACUGAGACACGGCCCAGACUCCUACGGGAGGCAGCAGUGUGGGGAAUUUUGGACAAUGGGGGCAACCCUGAUCCAGCCAUAGCCGCGUGCGGGAAGAAGGCCUUCGGGUUGUAAACCGCUUUUGUCGGGAAAGAAAUCUUCCGGGUUAAUACCUCGGGAGGAUGACGGUACCCGAUAGAAUAAGCACCGGCUAACUAGCGUGCCAGCAGCCGCGGUAAUACGUAGGGGUGCAAGCGUUAACUCGGAAUUACUGGGCGUAAAGCGUGCGCAGGCGGUUAUGCAAGACAGAUGUGACAAUCCCCGGGCUUAACCUGGGAACUGCAUUUGUGACUGCAUAGCUGGAGUACGGCAGAGGGGGAUGGAAUUCCGCGUGUAGCAGUGAAAUGCGUAGAUAUGCGGAGGAACACCGAUGGCGAAGGACAGUCCCCUGGUGCCUGUACUGACGCUCAUGCACGAUAAGCGUGGGAGCAAACCAGGAUUAGAUACCCUGGUAUGUCCACGCCCUAAACGAUGUCAUACUGGUUGUUGGGAGGGUUUCUUCUCAGUAACGUAGCCUAACGCGUGACUAAGUUGACCGCCUGGGGGAUGUACGGCCGCAAGGUAUGACAACUCAAAGGAAUUGUACGGGGACCCGCACAUAGCGUGUGGAAUGAUGUGGCUUAAUUCGAUGCAACGCGAAAAAACCAUUACCGACCCUUGACAUGCCAGGGAAUCCCGCAGAGAUGUGGGAGUGCUCGAAAGAGAGCCUGGGGCACAGGUGCUGCAUGGCCGGUCGUCAGCUCGUGUCGUGAGAUGUUGGGUUAAGUCCCGACAACGAGCGCAACCAUUGUCAUUAGUUGCUACGAAAGGGCACUCUAAUGAGACUGCCGGUGACAAACCGGAGGAAGGUGAGGAUGACGUCAGGUCCUCAUGGCCCUUAUGGGUAGGGCUACACACGUCAUACAAUGGCCGGUACAGAGGGCUUGCCAACCACGCGAGGGGGAGCUAAUCCCAGAAAAACCGGUCGUAGUCCGGAUUGUCAGUCUGCAACUCGACUGCAUGAAGUCGGAAUCGCUAGUAAUCGCGGAUCAGCUUGCCGCGGUGAAUACGUUUCCCGGGUCUUGUACACACCGCCCGUCACACCAUGGGAGCGGGUUCUGCCAGAAGUAGUUAGCUCUAACCGCAAGGGGGGCGAUUACCACGGCAGGGUUCGUGACUGGGGUG
rnacentral:rRNA from 1 species